rnacentral:rRNA from 1 species
UACGUAGGGGGCGAGCGUUGUCCGGAAUUAUUGGGCGUAAAGAGCGUGUAGGCGGUUCGGUAAGUCCGCCGUGAAAAUCCGAGGCUCAACCUCGGGCUUGCGGUGGAUACUGUCGGGCUAGAGGAUGGUAGAGGGGAUCUGGAAUUCCUGGGUGUAGCGGUGAAAUGCGCAGAUAUCAGGAGGAACACCGGUGGCGAAGGCGGGAUCCUGGGCCGUUGCUGACACUGAGGCGCGAAAGCUGGGGGAGCGAACAGGAUUAGAAACCCCG